AUUGAACGCUGGCGGCACGCCUUACACAUGCAAGUCGAACGGCAGCACGGGAGCUUGCUCCUGGUGGCGAGUGGCGAACGGGUGAGUAAUACAUCGGAACGUACCCAGGAGUGGGGGAUAACGUAGCGAAAGUUACGCUAAUACCGCAUAUUCUGUGAGCAGGAAAGCGGGGGAUCGCAAGACCUCGCGCUCUUGGAGCGGCCGAUGUCGGAUUAGCUAGUUGGUGAGGUAAAAGCUCACCAAGGCGACGAUCCGUAGCAGGUCUGGGAGGAUGAUCGGCCACACUGGGACUGAGACACGGCCCAGACUCCUACGGGAGGCAGCAGUGGGGAAUUUUGGACAAUGGGGGCAAGCCUGAUCCAGCCAUGCCGCGUGAGUGAAGAAGGCCUUCGGGUUGUAAAGCUCUUUCGGCGGGGAAGAAAUGGCAACGGCUAAUAUCCGUUGUUGAUGACGGUACCCGCAUAAGAAGCACCGGCUAACUACGUGCCAGCCGCCGCGGUAA
rnacentral:rRNA from 1 species